UUUUGUAAGAAUAAAAUAUCUUCUUCAAUUAGUAGUUCAAACCUCAAAGUCUAAAUAUAAUAUUAAAUUUAAUCAAUAUUUAGACCAUAAAUACGAAUACGAUACAGAUGAUGGGCUUUGCCUGACUAUUAAAUUUGAAAGUGCUAAGUUUUGCAGAUACCUGAUUUAUUUGAAUGAACGCUUAUUUAAUAACAAAUUAAUUAUCAUUUCUUAAUAUAGAUUUCCUUUUCACUGUAUGACAGUAACAUUGGCAGCAAUAAUUCACUCAAAAUUUAAGUUAAACUGGCCUUAUAUUAAUCUGCCACAAAAUGGUAAAAGAAAGGUUAAUUGCCCAUUUGGGAAAUAUGUAGGAUCAACUACAUGUAGAUGCUUCAAAUGAAUGGGAUUUGACAAAUUCACAAUUUUAUAAUUAUACCAGAAUGAGAAGAUCAACCUUUUCAUAUAUUCUCGGGUUAAUAUAUGAUGAUAUAAAUCCAAAAAUUACUAAUUUAACAAACAAAUUGAUCUGAAGACAGAUUAUUUAUUACCUUGAGCAUAUAGUUCAAGGAUUUCAAAAUCCUGUAUAGCCAACAUUGUGAAAAUCAAUGCACAGCCAAAUGUACAUACAUAUAUCCCUAAGCCCAAUAAAAAUGAAUGGGAAAGAAUUUCCCAAGAAUUCCUCCUUCAAUCCGGAUUAUAAAAUUGUUUUGGGGCAAUAGAUGGUAAACAUAUCUAUAUCAAGAGCCCUCAAAAUAGAGGCUCAUAAUCUUAUGACUUUAAACAUAGAUUUUCAAUUAACCUGUUAACCUUAACAGAUAUCAACAGAAAAUUUAUUUUUAUAUAUGUGGGAGCAUAUGGAAAGCAGAGUGAUGGCGGAGUAUGAAAGAGCUCUUUAUAUAAAGAAUUGGUGAACAAUACACUUGAUCUGCCUGCUCUCAAGCCCUUUCCAGUUUUAAUGAAGCCAUGCUAUUUGUAAUGUCUGUUGAAGCCCUACCCCAAAAAAUCUAACAAUGGAAUUCAACGUGAGGUUAUUCCAUGCCAGUGUAGGCAUAGAAAGGAGUUUUGGGGGAAUUGUUUAAAAAAAUCUGAGUUUCUGAUUAAGCCAAUAGAAAUUGGCCUAGCUAUCAUAUAAAUAGUCAUAAAAACAAUCUGUAUCUUACACAACAUAAUCGUCAACAUAGAAGGAUCAGCUUCCAAUGAUGAUACAGAGAUACAACAAUGGUAAACCUUAAUGCUAGACCAUCAUUACUUAGCAGAGAAAAUAAUUCUUCUUCAAUGGAAUCAAAAAUUCUUAGAAAUAAAUUUAAAGAUUAUUUAAAUUAUUAAAUUUGUUUAUUUAUAUUGUAAUAAAUUUAUUUAUUAUACAUAAUGUAUGUUAUUAAAUGAUAU